rnacentral:rRNA from 1 species
GGGCCCGCACAAGCGGUGGAGCAUGUGGUUUAAUUCGAUGAUACGCGAGGAACCUUACCAGGGCUUAAAUGUACGUUGCAUGAUUUAGAGAUAGAUCUUUCUUCGGAGCAGAUUACAAGGUGCUGCAUGGUUGUCGUCAGCUCGUGCCGUGAGGUGUUAGGUUAAGUCCUGCAACGAGCGCAACCCCUAUUCUUAGUUGCCAGCGGUUCGGCCGGGGACUCUAAGAAAACUGCCCGCGCAAGCGUGGAGGAAGUGGGGAUGACGUCAAAUCAUCACGGCCCUUACGUCCAGGGGCUACACACGUGCUACAAUGGUGAGGGGACAGAGGGCAGCCACCUGGUGACAGGGAGCAGCAUCAUAACCUAUCUC